CCAGUGCAAGGAACUGGCUCUACCAGGAGACUGUCACCCACUCUCCUUCUAGUCCAAAAUGAAAACACUUGGAAUUAAUCUCACUCUGGGACUCCAAGAAACCACUAGAUAGAACAUUUUUCAAAAAAAAAAUUGCUGAUAUCUUUACUGAAAAAUACUUUUGAAGCGAAGAACCUGCCACAUAGGCAGACUUCCCACACCUCCUGGUGUGAGGCCUGGGCAGGUCAGCCACAUUCUGGAAGGUCAUUCUCACUCUCUGCAUUCAGAGAGUCACAUGCUUUUUGAGCACUCAUUACAGACAGCUUGAUUAAAAUUGUAUAUUGCCUCUUGAAAAAAAAUUUUAUGGGUCUGGAGUUUCAGAGAAAGAAGGUAAAGACAGAUUGGUUCUCUUAAAUACCACGAGAAGCAUCUUUGAGUGAAUACAAAAACACUUGCUUCCAAAACCAAUGUCUUCAUGGUCCACCCUCAUCCUCAGAGAGCAUGAGGAGACCAGCUGACUGCCCAGGAGGCAGGGGCCUUUCAAACCUUAGGCAUGUUCUCUCUGCCCCAAAGUUGCUCUCAAAUGUGAAACAGUGGCAUCAAAACCAGAAGAACUCUCUGAAAUCCUUCUGAAGAGGAAAAGAAGAAUUUGCUUGGAGAUUGCUUCUUUGUUAUUGUUAUUUUUAGAAUUUUAAAUUAAAGAC
rnacentral:lncRNA from 1 species